GUGAGUAAUGCGUAGGAAUCUACCUUAAAGUGGGGGACAACCUGGGGAAACCCAGGCUAAUACCGCAUAAUUUCUAAGGAACAAAACUGGGGACCCUUCGGGGCCUGGUGCUUUAAGAUGAGCCUACGUCAGAUUAGCUUGUUGGUGGGGUAAAGGCCUACCAAGGCGACGAUCUGUAGCUGGUCUGAGAGGACGAUCAGCCACACUGGGACUGAGACACGGCCCAGACUCC
rnacentral:rRNA from 1 species